rnacentral:rRNA from 1 species
UACGAAGGGGGCUAGCGUUGCUCGGAGUCACUGGGCGUAAAGCGCACGUAGGCGGCUUCUUAAGUCAGGGGUGAAAUCCUGGAGCUCAACUCCAGAACUGCCUUUGAUACUGGGAGGCUCGAGUCCGGGAGAGGUGAGUGGAACUGCGAGUGUAGAGGUGAAAUUCGUAGAUAUUCGCAAGAACACCAGUGGCGAAGGCGGCUCACUGGCCCGGUACUGACGCUGAGGUGCGAAAGCGUGGGGAGCAAACAGG